ACGCGUAGAUAUCUAUGGGCAUUUUAAACCUUCGCUGCCAUGGCGAGUGUGUAGCGCAAGAUUUCAUGUAAUAAUUUCCAGGAAAAGGGAGUUCGAAUGUCUCACGCGACCUCACUAUUGGAUGGUAUCAGUAAAUUUUAUUACUCAAAUGCAAAUUUUGUGUCUGCAAGGCUACAACAGGCUGUUAAUGAUCCCACAUGCGAGAGAGGAAUUAAAGAAGGGAGGAGGAGGAGUAUAAGUAGGAGGAGAGGACUAGGAUUUAAGCAUACUUACCUGGGCGGGGUCAAUCGGUGAUCAGGAAGGCCGAUGGCCUAGAGAGAGCAUCUUCAUUGCACAAGGAAGAGGGCUCUGUCUAGCAUCUCCCAUUGUGGAGAAUGCACGUCAUAAUUUGUUACAGAGGGGGCUCGCGUUCGCGCGGCCCCCACA